rnacentral:lncRNA from 1 species
CUAUGAACAGGCUCCCUUUGAUCCUCUGAGAAUUUCCAAGUUGAAAACACCAUGUGAGAUGACUCCUUCCCUUGGGAUACGGGCUGCAUCUGACCUUGUCCUAUGGGUACAAAUGUGAAUAAGAGAUCAUCUCUACUGUCAAGGAGCUCUAGUCAAGUGUGAAGGUGCAGGAAUGAGGCUGAAGUGUGGUAGAGACAAGACACAAAGGACCUUGUGUGCUGUUCUAAGGAGUUUGCAUGUGAUCCNCUAGUCAAGUAAGUUGCAGGAAUGAGGCUGAAGUGCGGUAGAGACAAGACACAAAGGACCUUGUGUGCUGUUCUAAGGAGUUUGCAUGUGAUCCCACAGGCUGGUGGCUGCAGGGCCUCAGGAGUGAGAUGGAGAAUAACUGAAGUCCAAAGUCCGGUGAUGAAAUGGGAAGACUGUCAUCGUCAGAUGUUUGCCCGAGAAGGAGGCACCUGGAUGGAAGUUCUGUGGGUGCUUAUGAGAUAUGACAACACUUAUUGUUUUCAGUGAACUUUACUUUUCACUUAAUGGUAGUUAAAUGCUACAAUUAUGCUGGAUUUUGUCCCAAAGUAGGAAGAGAAGCAGAAAGCAAACACACACACACACACACACACACACACACCUUCAAACCAACAUGCAUUUCCCAAGGGUUAAAUCCAGAAAAGUUAGAAGCCCGGUUAGGAACAUGGGCCAGUGAACAAACAUAGAUUUUUCUGACAUAUUCAGCAUUAUCAUGUCAAGUUUCUGACCCUAAUCAACCAAGGUCAUGAACAGACUAGUCCUUUUAAAAAUUCUAUGAAAGAAACUGCUGUGCGUUUUUCUCUCUGGACUCUGGACUCUCUCACUUGGAAUACAAAUGUGGCCUGGCUCUUCCAAGCUUUGCUCGAAAGGACUUUAAGCCUGAGCUGAGUUCUCAGUGAUUUGCUGCCUCCAUCAGGAUCAGAGAAGAAUAUUCCUUAAUGCAUUUCAAUCUGUUUAACCCUGGAGGAUGCAAUGACUUUUGGGUGAAAAUGAAGCAGUAGGGUCUAUUGGAGACGGAGACAUUGUUUAUCUGGGUACAGAUUUUAAUUAGACUUUUUCCCAUAUUAAAAAAAAAAGAUGCCUA